AGUGAACGCUGGCGGCGUGCCUAAUACAUGCAAGUCGAACGGAGUGGCGCACGGGUGAGUAAUAUAUAGAUAAUCUGCCCCUUGCUGGAGGACAACAGUUAGAAAUGACUGCUAAUACUCCAUAGCAAGGGAUGAGACUAUAUCGUAUCAGCUAGUCGGUGGGGUAACGGCCUACCGAGGCUAUGAAGCGUAACUGGUCUGAGAGGAUGAUCAGUGACAUGGGAACGAGGACAUGGUCCAAACUCCUACGGGAGGGAGCAGUAGGGAAUAGUGCACAAGGGGAGAAACCCUGACGCAGCAACGCGACGUGGAGGAUGACACUUUGCGGAGCUUAAACUCCUUGUGUAAGGGAUGCGGUACCUAACGAAAAAGCACCGGCUAACGCCGUGCCAGCAGCCGCGGUAAUUC
rnacentral:rRNA from 1 species